AUUGAACGCUGGCGGCAGGCCUAACACAUGCAAGUCGAGCGGAUGAAGGGAGCUUGCUCCUGGAUUCAGCGGCGGACGGGUGAGUAAUGCCUAGGAAUCUGCCUGGUAGUGGGGGAUAACGUCCGGAAACGGGCGCUAAUACCGCAUCCGUCCUGAGGGCGAAAGUGGGGGUUCUUCGGACCUCACGCUAUCAGUUGAGCCUAGGUCGGAUUAGCUAGUUGGUGGGGUAAAGGCCUACCAAGGCGACGAUCCGUAACUGGUCUGAGAGGAUGACCAGUCACACUGGAACUGAGACACGGUCCAGACUCCUACGGGAGGCAGCAGUGGGGAAUAUUGGACAAUGGGCGAAAGCCUGAUCCAGCCAUGCCGCGUGUGUGAAGAAGGUCUUCGGAUUGUAAAGCACUUUAAGUUGGGAGGAAGGGCAGUAAGGUAAUACCUUGCUGUUUUGACGUUACCAACAGAAUAAGCACCGGCUAACUUCGUG
rnacentral:rRNA from 1 species